rnacentral:rRNA from 1 species
ACGCGAGGAACCUUACCAACCCUUGACAUCCCUGGACCGGCCUGGAGACAGGUCUUUCACUUCGGUGACCAGGUGACAGGUGCUGCAUGGCUGUCGUCAGCUCGUGUCGUGAGAUGUUCGGUUAAGUCCGGCAACGAGCGCAACCCACGUCCCUAGUUGCCAGCAUUCAGUUGGGCACUCUAUGGAAACUGCCGAUGAUAAGUCGGAGGAAGGUGUGGAUGACGUCAAGUCCUCAUGGCCCUUACGGGUU